rnacentral:rRNA from 1 species
AGUGAACGCUGGCGGUAGGCCUAACACAUGCAAGUCGAACGGCAGCACAGUAAGAGCUUGCUCUUACGGGUGGCGAGUGGCGGACGGGUGAGGAAUACAUCGGAAUCUACUUUUUCGUGGGGGAUAACGUAUGGAAACUUACGCUAAUACCGCAUACUACCUACGGGUGAAAGCAGGGGAUCUUCGGACCUUGCGCGAUUGAAUGAGCCGAUGUCGGAUUAGCUAGUUGGCGGGGUAAAGGCCCACCAAGGCGACGAUCCGUAGCUGGUCUGAGAGGAUGAUAAGCCACACUGGAACUGGGACACGGUCCAGACUCCUACGGGAGGCACCAGUGGGGAAUAUUGGACAAUGGGCGCAAGCCUGAUCCAGCCAUACCGCGUGGGUGAAGAAGGCCUUCGGGUUGUAAAGACCUUUUGUUGGGAAAGAAAAGCAGCAGGUUAAUACCCCGCUGUUCUGACGGUACCCAAAGAAUAAGCACCGGCUAACUUCGUG